GAUAAGAACGCAGUGAAAUGCGAUACGUAAUGUGAAUUGCAGAAUUCAGUGAAUCAUCGAGUCUUUGAACGCACAUUGCGCCCCCUGGUAUUCCGGGGGGCAUGCCUGUCCGAGCGUCAUUGCUGCCCUCAAGCACGGCUUGUGUGUUGGGCCUCCGUCCUCCUCCCGGGGGACGGGCCCGAAAGGCAGCGGCGGCACCGCGUCCGGUCCUCGAGCGUAUGGGGCUUCGUCACCCGCUCUUGUAGGCCCGGCCGGCGCUUGCCGACACAUCAAUCUUUUUUCCAGGUUGACCUCGGAUCAGGUAGGGAUACCCGCUGAACUUAAGCAUAUCAAUAAGCGGAGGA
rnacentral:misc_RNA from 1 species